ensembl:lncRNA
AAAACUCUGGGCAUUAAGAGAAGUCUAUGUGCGCCAUACCAUCCACAAAUAAAUGGACUGGUUGAGAGACUCAAUGGCACAAUUCAGAGAUGUUUGAUCAAGUUGGUAGGGAACAGGCCAAACUCGUGGGCUGAUUAUUUGGAGGCCACAAUGUUUGGUCUCCGAACCAAAAAGCAGAUAACAAACAAAUUUUCCCCGUACUUUCUGCUAUUAGGUCUUGAGGCUAGGUACCCAUGUGAGGUACCAGACACCUAUGAGAUCAAUGAAAGUGUGGAGGAAAUGAUUGCAGAGGAGUGCAUUUCUGAAUGUAUCAAACGGCAGGACAGGUUGUACCAAAUUGUUCAGGAGAAUAUGGCACAGGUGCAAAAAAAAAUAAGAAAGAGGAAACUUGAUCAAGGAGAGGCUGUUGUCAUGCAGGUUGGGGACAGAGUCCAGAGGCAAAAUAAAAGAAGUCAGCAGAGAAAGGGGGGCAAAUUGGAUCCUGAUUUUUGUAGGCCCAUACACUGUCACUAAAGUUGAUGGUGAAAGUGUAGACAUUGUGGAUGACCAUGGCAAACUAUUUCCAAGAGUAAACACUGAUCACCUGUUACACUUUUUAGAAGAUCAUCCACCAAAAGCUCCCAAGGUCACUUCAACCAUCACAACCACCACCUUCCCUGCCACAACUUUUUCAGUUCCUCAUACCACCCAGGCUGCGGCCUCCUCUGCUGUGCCUAGCACUGAUUGUAUGUAUCCACCUUUUAAAACCUACAGCAUGUAAAGAGAACACCACUCUAUUAUCACUAGUGUUGUGUGUGUGUGUGUGUGUGUGUGUGUUUCUUUCUUUUUUUCUUACUAUUUUUAGUAUUACAAGACACCUGGGCAGGAAAAGUAGGAGGAAGACUGUGGAGCAAAAUAGGUCCAUAUAAAAUAUUUACCUGGGAUCUUGAGCGCCUCCAACCUGGAGAGAAGCUUGAGAGUAAGGUAAGCUAGUUUUCACACAAUUCCUAAUAAUUCUUUAUUUAUUUGGACUUCAUCAUAAUGCUUUUUUUUAAACAAGUGUGGAACAGACAAAUGAUUGAACCACUUUCUUGUUCAGGUUUUCAAUGUCUACCUCACUUGCAUAGCAAGCAGAUAUGCAGGAAAGGCAUGUCUCAUUGAUUCAUUUCAAAUGACAAAUCUGUGGAAUGGCAAGGCCAAUGAAAUGAAGAAGGUGAACAAGCUUGUUUAUUUUGAUAUGAUUAUCAUUAAUGUUCAUGUUUCACCUGUAAUUGUCUGUGUACCCAUAGAUGAAUCUGCAGGUUUAUGAUUUGCUGGUGGGCUCUGUAAAUGAGGGUGACCACUGGACACUGCUGGUUUGUUUCACUCUAUGAUGUCUGUUGUUCUAUUACACUAUAAGCAAAUGGAUUUUGUGUUCCUUUAAGACUGAAAGAUAAAUUCAGUGUCUUGCCAGGUAAUAUAUCCUCAGGAAGGAAAUAUCAUUUAUAUGAACUCCUGUGAAGGCAGCAGGAAAGUUGCUCACUGCCUUAAGGCUGUGAGGUGAGAAACGAAGAACCUUCAUCAGGUAAUGGUUUAUAAGUUUUAUACAAAUUUUUCUUUCUUCAAUAAAAGGGGUUUCGUGGAUUCA